GAGCUUGCGGCUUAAUUUGACUCAACACGGGAAAACUUAUCAGGUCCAGACAUAGUAAGGAUUGACAAAGUAAGAGCUCUUUCUUGAUUCUAUGAGUGGUGGUGCAUGACCAUUCUUAAUUAGUGGAGUGAUUUGUCUCGUUAAUUCCGUUCUUAGUUGGUGGAGCGAUUCUUUUUAAUAAUUAAUAAUGUUUUUUUUUAAAUAUAUUAUAUUAAAUUUGAAAAUAAAAAUAAAAGUAAUAAAUUUACAGAAAUAAAAGCUCAAAAAAUUUCUUAAAAAUACUUGUAAAAAGUAUCCUA
rfam:Cajanus cajan CcLG01_1103, whole genome shotgun sequence.